GACGAACGCUGGCGGCGUGCUUAACACAUGCAAGUCGAACGGAAAGGCCCUGCUUUUGUGGGGUGCUCGAGUGGCGAACGGGUGAGUAACACGUGAGUAACCUGCCCUUGACUUUGGGAUAACUUCAGGAAACUGGGGCUAAUACCGGAUAGGAGCUCCUGCUGCAUGGUGGGGGUUGGAAAGUUUCGGCGGUUGGGGAUGGACUCGCGGCUUAUCAGCUUGUUGGUGGGGUAGUGGCUUACCAAGGCUUUGACGGGUAGCCGGCCUGAGAGGGUGACCGGCCACAUUGGGACUGAGAUACGGCCCAGAGUGCUACGGGAGGCAGCAGUGGGGAAUAUUGCACAAUGGGCGGAAGCCUGAUGCAGAAACGCCGCGUGCGGGAUGACGGCCUUCGGGGUGUAAACCGCUUUCGCCUGUGACGAAGCGUGAGUGACGGUAAUGGGUAAAGAAGCACCGGCUAACUACGUG
rnacentral:rRNA from 1 species